GCGGGAGUGGUGAAAUUGGUAGACACGCCAGAUUUAGGUUCUGGUGCCCUAGGUGUGAGAGUUCGAGUCUCUCCUCCCGCA
rnacentral:tRNA from 1 species